GUUGAAUUUUCAAGGCAAGUUUUUUUUUUAUGGUAAUAGACUUUUAUUCCUCAAAAAAUGGAUAGAUCAUUUACAAGCAAAUGAGAAAUAACGUCAGGGACGGACAUAUCCCAUAAACUAGAAGAUCUAGAGCUAAACAAAAUAAAACGGGGUGGCUAGGUUGAAUUCCAGUGGCCUUGCAUUAUGCAGAAAUUUGACGACAAAUGUCCCAUGGACUUUGUAAUCCUCCCUCCAAGAUUAAAGGACGCGUCUAGUGGGCGGCCGGCUGCCCACUAGUGCAACCGACGGCCGGCUGAAAAAGGAAACCCCUAUUUCCCGCGAAACAGAAAAGGAAGGGCCACCAACCCGGCCGAUCGAGCGGCCACCAACAGAAUCGCAAACCGCCCCACGUGGCCAGCUGUCCCCAGCUCGCACCCACGCCCGCUCGCCCCCACGCCUCAGCCCCUCCCACGCUGCCUUCUUCUUCUUCUGCACGCCAGAAGGAGAUCCAACAGAAUCGCCCCCCAACCCUUCUUCCUCCUCCUACACAGCCGCCAUGGGAGCCCCAAAGUAGAAGAAGGAGCUGCUUCAAAAAAGAAGAUCUAAGGGCAGGGUGGUCAGAGCCAUACCAGGCAUGAACAUCAAAUAGGGAGUGUGUGGCAGCAUCCAAAAAAAGGAAAAAAAAUGCUUGAUCUCAAUGAGUUGCCUCCUGAUCUCAAUGAGCUUCCUCAUGAUACGGAUCAGCAGCAAGCCAGCAUACAACAAGGAAAAUGGACAGAAAAUGGUCGAUCUGUUUACUACACGCAGGCAAGUCAUGAUGGUAACCCUAUGGGCCAUGACAAUGUGGCAGGCCAGUCAUCAGACCGUGGUGCUCCUGUAGUGGUGUCUUUGCAGUCAGAGAGCCAUGCUCUAGAUGACACGGGAACCGAGGCAAAUGUUCCUGGUCCAACCAGGACUGAGCUAGGAGCUAGGGCUGUUGACGGAGCUGUGCAAGGAGAAGAAGGAGAGGAUGAGGUUGGUUCUCAACCUAUGGAACCCUAUGUUGGCAUGAGGUUUGACAGCCUUCAAAUCGCUAAGGAUCACUACAACAGCUACGCGCUACGGAUGGGUUUCUCUAUCAAGAUGAACACAUCUAGACGGAUACCCUGCACCAAUGAAUUGAUAAAACAAUAGUUUUGCUGCAACAAGUUCAAGAAGCCCAAAGCUGAUGAUGGAGGAGCUGAGGCUCCUCCAGUCCUGGACCCUAUUCCAGAUCCAAAAUCUGUUGACAGUGAUGAGGAGAUGGAAGAAGAACCUCCAAUAUUUGCUGAAGAGGAGGCUGGUACUAGUAAGAAGAAGAAGAAGAAGCGCAAACGCGAGACAAUAAAGCAGACUCAGUGCAAAGCGAAAAUGUUGGUGAAGCUGAUAGAUGGGCGAUGGGAGGUGACGCACUUUGUUCGUGACCACAAUCAUCCGCUCGUGAACAAACCUUCAUUGUCCAAAUACUUGAGAUCCCACCAAGGCAUCUCACCUGAUGAAAAGGAGUUUCUGCGCAUCUUGUAUAACUGCAACUUGACUACAGGUGUGGUGUUUUUCUAUAUCCCUUAAAGAAUUAAGUUUUCCUCUA